rnacentral:lncRNA from 1 species
GGCCAAUGGUUUGAAAAUGAAUUGAGAAAGACCAAAAAAAAAAAAAGAAAACACCAAGUCAGUACAAUGUUGAUAAUGUUUGUUUGGCUCUUAAGGUUCGCAUGUGCUGUCAUCCAUCAAAGAACACAGCUUAGCAGUGGCAUUCUGCUGAGGUUGGAGUACACAGUAUUACAUGCCACUUAUUUAGAGAUGUAUGCGUGCCCUUGCUUUUGUUUUUCUGCAGAUAUUUGGAUAUCUGCAUUUUGUAUGUGGUGAUGUUUUGGAAUAUUAACUCUGCAGGUAAGAAUCCUAAAUAGUAUCAAGUCCAACAUUUACUAUCCCAGACAAUUUAAUAUAUGGAAUAUAUUAAAUAUAACACAUUAACAUUAAGGAAAAAUAUGUGAAAGAAUAAAUCUGAGAUCUGUUUCUCAAACAACAAGCUCAUCACACAACUAAUUUGUAAAUUUGCUGAGAGACAGCAAGCACGAUUAUAUGAGCAAACCUGGCAUGGGAUUCUGCCAUGUCCUUGGACCUUCCUACACAAAAAUGUUAAUAACAAUCAGACUUGUUCCAAAAACAAGAAUCAAGAAUAGAGAACAAGAAUUACAUGUGUUCAUUUAGCUUGACCCUGCCAGGUGGUGAACUUUUUCUACGAUGGCAUCGCUACAAUGAGAAGUUACACAGACCUGUAACUUUGAAUAAUCAUUUUUGGCACUGUUUUCUCUGCCCUCCAGGACUGAAAUUGCAGCGUUGUGCAAUCGUGGGCUUGUAGCAGAAUUUUGGCUCAGAGGACCGUGACAAAGAGGAUGGGAAAUAUCUCUUGGGAAUGGGUGAUCUGGUCAACCAGCUGAAGAGGGGCCGUGAUACUGCUGCUGCCAUCCCCGUGGGAGUGAGGAGAGCUGAAGAUGCUCUUCUCUUGAGGAUGGAGCCAAUUCUCCCAAAUAUAUUCAGUCAUACAACAGAGGCCAAAGUAAAAUACAUUCAGCAAAAUAUUUGCCAUGAUGAUGAUUUUGGAGCUCCACGGACUGGUUGUGGAGCACUGUAUCAACUUCUGCUUUGGAAACCUGCAUGACCAGCUCACAAUAAGCCCUGCUGUGCUCAGCUGAGCCAUCCCCAUCACGCCCUCUUUCGGUGGGAAACCUCCCCACUCCAACAGCUCCGCUCUUUCUUCCUCAAAAACACUGCAUAAAACUGAUAGUUUAGUAAGUACCGAAUUACACUGCACCAAUAAAAGUAAGUUUCUUGGCAAGGCACUUGAUCUGGCCCCAUCUAGCUUGAUGAAAAGUGGCUCAUUAAAUUAAGCCAAUUUGCUUACCUAAAGCUUCCUGAGUCUGUUCUUGCAAUGCCACAUGUUGAAUGUCCUUUUAAAGGCUUGUAUAAGAACAUCUGCAAGCCUCCUGCGUCAGAAACAUCUCAGGAGAAGUAUUAAUCCCCUACUGAACGGGGAAUUUGAUUUCUCUUGGGUUUGCACAGAAUCUAGCAGCAUGAAUAUGGACCUGGAGAUAAAUCAGAGGAAAAACACGCACGUAAUGUCAUUCACUAUAAGUCAACAGAAACUCUUUACCUGAUGAAAGACUAAAAACCAACACAUAGAUGAAGCCAUUAAUAUUUCAAAAUGUCAGAUUCUGUGAUUUCAGAGACAGCAUCAUCAACUAGUCACUGUUUUACACAUGCCAAAUCGUUGCGACCUCACCAGCACACUCAGAAACUUGCAUUUCUGGACCAGCACAAAACUGGGCAGAUCUGUACCCAUUUGGGUCAAACUGAGAACUAGUUUUCCCCACCACAAGGACCAGCUGGCUCUUUGUAGAUGUCCACAGGCAGCUUUACAGCAGCUUUUUUGGGAGCCCAAUCCCCUGCGGCUGCCUACUGGAGGAGACCAAGAGAGAUAGCGGUGAUCUCUGCCAACCCCUGGCUGGCAAUUUCUCUACACCACAGAAAAUAAAAACACAUUGCGAACUCUUCCUGUCCCUCAGCAACCCUAAAAGAGCUGAGGUGUUAAAGUAUUUAUUAACAUAAUUGAUUCUCGGGGUUUUGAGCAUUAAAAUUUAAAGGGCCAAAACCUGAAAAUUGCUUUUAACACGUGGGUAGGUGAAACCUACCACCAAGCCUUUCCGGUGCUUUUCUGCUCCUCACGUAUGUAGGUUUCCAGCAUUUAAUUGCGAUGUGAUCACAUCCAGGGCUAAAAAGACUGGCACACUGUCAAGAAGAUGAUUUAAAAUGCCCAGCUGGAGAGAGUAGGAGUUCUUUACUCCUUCUAGGUUUUAUCUGUUUUUAGCUGCCUGCCAUCUCCAGAAUCACAGCCCUUGUGUAUUCAUGGGGAUAGAUAGCAAAACCUUCCUUUAGCAAGCACAAAACACCUUUCUUGACCUGGGAUAGUAGCAGUGGCUUCAGCAUUUGUUCCCUGUCUUUUGCUGCUCGCUUGGACACCUUGCAUCACCCCUUGCAGCCCAGGGGCACAAAUGAUGCUGCAGCUGCAUGGUGAAGUGCCCAGCUACCCAGCUGGGCUGGGAAGCAAUCAUCCUCCCUUUCUCCCCAUUUUUCCUGUCCUGCUUUGUGGCUGCCUAUGUUCCCCAUGCUAGUGCCCUGAACCAGUGCUCGUGGUGGGGAUGACAAUGAGGGACCAGCUGGAGGGCAGUGACAAGAGGCUUGGAGAGGCAUUUACUGAAGGGCAUCACUGGAAACACAACCAUCACAUAACAGCCUGCAGAAAAAUUAUUUUCCUUCCCCUCAUCCCCACUUGAGCAGACUUCACGAGCACCCCCAGGACGGGCAGAACNNNNNNNNNNUCACUUGAUCAGUUAUGUGCAACUCCAGCUCUAAGGACUGCUUAGGGGUUCACACAUUUCAAAGCAGGACAAAUUUUGAGACUUAGGUGUCAUAAUAAACACUAUUACAGGCAGGCUUCACGAGCACCCCCAGGACGGGCAGAACUUGCUCCAUCAGUCCCAGCGGCACUGAGCUGAGGCCAGCUCCCAGCCCAGCAGCACCAAAGCACACAGCACAACACGAAGCACCGGGGACUUCUGAUACCAAAGCGUUUGGCACCCACGGGUUCUCACCAUCUACACGGAUAGCUAACAAGGAAACAGGCCCUUAGGGAUCUACGUGUUGAGUGUAAGAGUCAAAACAGUUCUUCCAUUCAGAAUUGGACUAGCCCAGAAUCUUAAGCUGCCAUCUUUUAUUUAAGGAAUUGCUGAACUUGUCAAGUAGAAUACUAAAGCACAGCAUUUCUUAGGCCAUCAGUGAAGUCUGUUUGAAUCCAUCAGCCACUAGGAAAUUUAGAGCCAAACUACUGAAGACUGACACUGCAGGAUACAGCGAAUUCAUAACGCACACCCUACCUUGGGAUCUGUCCCUUUAUCCCCUCCUCCUUACCUAUGCAUUGAAGCAAGCACUGAAUAUUCCUAGGAUGUUCCAGUGCAGCAACUUCAUUCAAUUCCACUUGAUAAUAAAUUUCAGGAGAAAACACCACAAGCGUGACUCCUGCCACCCUAAUUCCUGUAUGCAACCUUGUUGUCCCCGAUCACUUAAUCAGUUAUGUGCAACUCCAGCUCUCAGGACUGCUUGGGGGUUCACACAUGUCAAGGCAGGACAAAUUUUGAGACUUAAGUGUCAUAAUAAACAAUAUUACUAGCAGGCUAUUUUUUGUGAAAAUAAUGCAAAAUCCUUUUUGACAAAACAGUUGCAAUCUUUUAUCAUCAAAGAAAAGUUCUGAAAUUCUUCACUGGCUUAUAACUGUUCUCAAGCUUGAGCUGACAUGCCCUAUUUCUACUACUAGUCUAAUUUUGUCUUACAAGUGUGAACUGUUUUUAGUAUAUUUAGUAGUACUUUUUCUAUCUUGAGCAUAAGCUUUUUAAGUUUUUGUUUUGUUUUGUUUUGUUUUGUUUUUUUUCCUGUCAUUGUACAUUUUCUUGUUUAUCUUGCAAUCAUUUUCUAUUUUGGAAUAACUUUUAAGUGUAAGUAUCUUUACCGCUUACAAUUUUUAACCCACUGAUAUAACAUGGUAUAGUGUUAUCUACGCAGGCAAUACUCAUAUUUGAUAGACCCUAAUUCAAUUUUGUUGCAUGCAUGUACAACAAAAAUCUGAUAUCUGACCCACAAAGUUUCCAAACUGCAAAGUUUGGAGUACUUUAUUAUUAUUAUUAACAUCACCCAGCAUUCAUAUGCAAUUGCUUUGAUGGAAAAAAAAAAAAAAAAAGCUUAAGAAAUGUUUCAUUUUCAUCCCUUCCAGUAGUAAUAAAUUUAUAAAGAGGGUUAUUUUUUGCUGUUGUUCUAGCUUGGUCACUUUAUUUCAA